UACGUAGGGUGCAAGCGUUGUCCGGAAUUAUUGGGUGUAAAGAGCUUGUAGGCGGUUUGUCGCGUCUGCUGUGAAAUUUCGGGGCUCAACCCCGAACUUGCAGUGGGUACGGGCAGACUAGAGUGUGGUAGGGGAGACUGGAAUUCCUGGUGUAGCGGUGAAAUACGCAGAUAUCAGGAGGAACACCGAUGGCGAAGGCAGGUCUCUGGGCCAUAACUGACGCUGAGAAGCGAAAGCAUGGGGAGCGAACAGG
rnacentral:rRNA from 1 species